rnacentral:sRNA from 1 species
AGUCUUGCACGUCUAAGACAAUGAGACAGCUCAUGAGCGAUGCUGUUUGAAGUGGAAGAGAGGAAGUUCACUGGUGUGGUUGUGUAUAGAGACAGGGCAGGGCAUUGUUCAUGCACUGACCGACCUCAGCAGCCCCGGCAUGACCUCAGGGAACGGAAACUCUGCCUCCAGCAUCGCCGGCACUGCCCCCCAGAAUGGUGAGAAUAAACCACCACAGGCCAUUGUGAAACCCCAAAUCCUGACGCAUGUUAUCGAAGGGUUUGUGAUCCAGGAGGGGGCGGAGCCUUUCCCGGUGGGACGCUCGUCCCUGCUGGUGGGGAAUCUCAAGAAGAAGUAUGCACAGGGGUUCCUGCCUGAGAAACUUCCACAGCAGGAUCACACCACCACCACUGACUCGGAGAUGGAGGAGCCCUAUCUGCAAGAAUCCAAAGAGGAGGGUGCUCCCCUCAAACUCAAGUGUGAGCUCUGUGGCCGGGUGGACUUUGCCUAUAAGUUCAAGCGUUCCAAGCGCUUCUGUUCCA